UACAGAGGGGGCAAGCGUUAUUCGGAAUUAUUGGGCGUAAAGGGCGCGUAGGCGGCUUGGCAAGUGGAAGGUGAAAUCCCUCGGCUCAACCGAGGAACUGCCCUCCAAACUGCUUGGCUUGAGACCGGGAGAGGUGAGUGGAAUUCCCAGUGUAGCGGUGAAAUGCGUAGAUAUUGGGAGGAACACCAGUGGCGAAAGCGACUUCCUGGACCAAUACUGACGCUCAUGUGCGAAAGCGUGGGGAGCAAACAGG
rnacentral:rRNA from 1 species